GCAAGUCCAGAGACCAGAGGCUGUAACACUUUCACCAUUAACAUUCCCCCUAGGGGUUUGCUUAUAGCAAUGGCAAAUAUGUGCACAGCUCCAACAGUGCAGUGCUCCAUAAGCAUUAUUUUAUGGACCAAUUUGAACAUCUCAAGAAUUAUUAAUUAUAGUCUUAAUGGAGUUCUCUCUAAUUUGUGUUGCUACACCAUUAAUCAUUAACUAACUCACCAGUUAGUCUCGGCUAAACUGUCCAAGAUCAAAGGAGAAGGCUUAAGGUAAUAUAAGUUUGCUCCAGAUGUGUCCUCCUCAGUCUCUUCACCUUCUCCAUGACGUACCUGACAACUUCCUCCCAUUGGUCCAAAGCUGCAGUGGCUGGCAAUCACUACCCCACGGAUCACUCCUUCUGAUCCAUGGCCAUCUGGAGGCUCUAUCAGCAGCCUUCUUGAUGCCCAGCCUUGUGAAUGCUCUGCAGAGCGGGCAGCCAGCAAAGCCUCCACAUCCCACCUCUCUGGAUACACAUCAAAUUCUCCAUGCCUGCCUCUGACACUGCUCAACCAGCUCCUGAUAUAUGGUUCUGUUUAGGGCAGUCUAGCCAGAAUGCAGCAGGCUGAAACCUGACCUACUUUGAGUUAGCUCACAAUAGGAGAAGAUAAGGCAGGCCUGGUGUCUUGGAACUUAGCUGCCUGUCCACAUUCACAAGCAGCUGCCUGCCAGCCUCUACAGUGGGGAGGCUGACUGUAGUUUGGGUUGCUUGAGAGACCAAUCCAUUCAUGUCACCAGAUGUUAUACCGUGCUCAGCGUAAAUGAGUACACCCCCUUUGAAAAGUACC